rnacentral:rRNA from 1 species
GUCCACGCCCUAAACGAUGUUUACUUGCUGUUUGGCCUUUGGGCUGAGUGGCGAAGCGAAAGCGCUAAGUAAACCACCUGGGGAGUACGCCGGCAACGGUGAAACUCAAAGGAAUUGACGGGGUCCGCACAAGCGGUGGAGCAUGUGGUUUAAUUCGAUGAUACGCGAGGAACCUUACCUGGGCUAGAAUGUGUAGGGGAAUGAUCUGAAAGGUGAUUGGCCCGCAAGGGACUCUAUACAAGGUGCUGCAUGGCUGUCGU